UGGCGGCAGGCCUAACACAUGCAAGUCGAACGGUAACAGGAAGCAGCUUGCUGCUUCGCUGACGAGUGGCGGACGGGUGAGUAAUGUCUGGGAAACUGCCUGAUGGAGGGGGAUAACUACUGGAAACGGUAGCUAAUACCGCAUAAUGUCGCAAGACCAAAGAGGGGGACCUUCGGGCCUCUUGCCAUCGGAUGUGCCCAGAUGGGAUUAGCUAGUAGGUGGGGUAACGGCUCACCUAGGCGACGAUCCCUAGCUGGUCUGAGAGGAUGACCAGCCACACUGGAACUGAGACACGGUCCAGACUCCUACGGGAGGCAGCAGUGGGGAAUAUUGCACAAUGGGCGCAAGCCUGAUGCAGCCAUGCCGCGUGUAUGAAGAAGGCCUUCGGGUUGUAAAGUACUUUCAGCGGGGAGGAAGGUGUUGAGGUUAAUAACCUCAGCAAUUGACGUUACCCGCAGAAGAAGCACCGGCUAACUCCGUGCCAGCAGCCGCGGUAAUACGGAGGGUGCAAGCGUUAAUCGGAAUUACUGGGCGUAAAGCGCACGCAGGCGGUCUGUCAAGUCGGAUGUGAAAUCCCCGGGCUCAACCUGGGAACUGCAUUCGAAACUGGCAGGCUAGAGUCUUGUAGAGGGGGGUAGAAUUCCAGGUGUAGCGGUGAAAUGCGUAGAGAUCUGGAGGAAUACCGGUGGCGAAGGCGGCCCCCUGGACAAAGACUGACGCUCAGGUGCGAAAGCGUGGGGAGCAAACAGGAUUAGAUACCCUGGUAGUCCACGCCGUAAACGAUGUCGACUUGGAGGUUGUGCCCUUGAGGCGUGGCUUCCGGAGCUAACGCGUUAAGUCGACCGCCUGGGGAGUACGGCCGCAAGGUUAAAACUCAAAUGAAUUGACGGGGGCCCGCACAAGCGGUGGAGCAUGUGGUUUAAUUCGAUGCAACGCGAAGAACCUUACCUACUCUUGACAUCCAGAGAACUUUCCAGAGAUGGAUUGGUGCCUUCGGGAACUCUGAGACAGGUGCUGCAUGGCUGUCGUCAGCUCGUGUUGUGAAAUGUUGGGUUAAGUCCCGCAACGAGCGCAACCCUUAUCCUUUGUUGCCAGCGGUUAGGCCGGGAACUCAAAGGAGACUGCCAGUGAUAAACUGGAGGAA
rnacentral:rRNA from 1 species